AGAGUUUGAUUCUGGCUCAGAAUCAACGCUGGCGGCGUGCCUAACACAUGCAAGUCGAGCGAGAAAAGGGGAGCAAUCCCCUGAGUACAGCGGCGCACGGGUGAGUAACACGUGGGUAAUCUGCCCUGGAGUGGGGAAUAACACCGGGAAACCGGUGCUAAUACCGCAUACGUUAUCGAAUCUGCGGAUUUGAUAAUAAAAGGAGCAAUUCGCUCCAGGAGGAGCCCGCGGCUGAUUAGCUAGUUGGUGAGGUAAUGGCUCACCAAGGCUACGAUCAGUAUCCGGUCUGAGAGGACGGUCGGACACACUGGAACUGAGACACGGUCCAGACUCCUACGGGAGGCAGCAGUGGGGAAUUUUUGGCAAUGGGGGAAACCCUGACCAAGCAACGCCGCGUGGAUGAUGAAGUCUCUUGGGACGUAAAAUCCUUUCGACAGGGAAGAAACCCGCAAGGGUUGACGGUACCUGUAGAAGAAGCCCCGGCUAACUCCGUGCCAGCAGCCGCGGUAAUACGGGGGGGGCAAGCGUUGUUCGGAAUUACUGGGCGUAAAGGGCGCGUAGGCGGUUUGCUAAGUUGGAUGUGAAAACUCUGGGCUUAACCCAGAGCCUGCAUUCAAAACUGACAAGCUAGAGUUCUGGAGGGGAUAGCGGAAUUCCUGGUGUAGCGGUGAAAUGCGUAGAUAUCAGGAGGAACACCGGUGGCGAAGGCGGCUAUCUGGACAGAAACUGACGCUGAGGCGCGAAAGCUAAGGGAGCAAACAGGAUUAGAUACCCUGGGUAGUCCUAGCCCUAAACGAUGGAUACUUGCUGUAGCUGCGAUUGAAUCCAGCUGUGGCGAAGCUAACGCAUUAAGUAUCCCGCCUGGUGAGUACGGUCGCAAGGCUGAAACUCAAAUGAAUUGACGGGGA
rnacentral:rRNA from 1 species